rnacentral:rRNA from 1 species
UUUGAGAGGGGCUGCUCCUAGUACGAGAGGACCGGAGUGGACGAACCUCUGGUGUUCCGGUUGUCACGCCAGUGGCAUUGCCGGGUAGCUAUGUUCGGAAAAGAUAACCGCUGAAAGCAUCUAAGCGGGAAACUUGCCUCAAGAUGAGAUCUCACUGGGAACUUGAUUCCCCUGAAGGGCCGUCGAAGACUACGACGUUGAUAGGCUGGGUGUGUAAGCGUUGUGAGGCGUUGAGCUAACCAGUACUAAUUGCCCGUGAGGCUUGACCAUAUAACACCCAAACA